rnacentral:rRNA from 1 species
UACGUAGGGGGCGAGCGUUGUCCGGAUUUAUUGGGCGUAAAGAGCGUGUAGGCGGUUCGGUAAGUCUGUCGUGAAAUCCUGAGGCUCAACCUCGGGCGUGCGAUGGAUACUGCCGGGCUAGAGGGUGGUAGAGGCGAGUGGAAUUCCCGGUGUAGCGGUGAAAUGCGCAGAUAUCGGGAGGAACACCAGUAGCGAAGGCGGCCCGCUGGGCCACACCUGACGCUGAGACGCGAAAGCUAGGGGAGCGAACAGG